ACAAACGGUACAACUGACGGCACGACAUACCUUUAUAAGCUGCACGUUAUGUUAAUAAAUAAUAAUUUAUUAUUCAGUUCACGGCGAGUCUGUUUCGAAGGAUAUUUAAAUUGAAAGGCUUAGCCUAUUUUUACCAGUAUGAAGCCGGUUUUCAACGGUUGCAGCAAACGGCAAGCACGCAGUUCAAGUCAUCACUGGAGUGACCUGUGCAUAACUUUGGAUGAGAGAAGACUCAACGCCUGACUUAAAUCUUGCGAAAUUACGGUGAACUUGAGGAUCCUGAAUUUUGUUUUUUGAGAGGAGGGCGCACCAGAGCCUUUGAGGGCAUGCAUUGUAACGUGAGAGAAAACCUCGGAAGCCAAAGAAGUAGAUGAGGGCUUGACUCAGUGACACCCAAGCGAAAAACCCAUUGCAGUAAUCCCUACUGGAGAUGAAUACACCAAUAAGUUAUCUAAAUCAUGUUUUGCCAUUUUGACCUCCUACCUUAUGACUCUACCACUACACAUGAUUCGUGGAAAGAGGCACGCACACUCUAUUAAGUUCUGUUUAGUCUUAGACUUAUGUGGUAAUUUAUAUAUAUCACUCAUGACAAAGAAGGGGGGGUCUCUUGUAGCCUACUACAGAUAGAUAGAUAGAUGGAUACUUCAUUGAUCCCCAAGGGGAAAUUCAAGAGGUGAGGUGAU